rnacentral:tRNA from 2 species
GGGCAGGUACUCAAGUGGCCAACGAGGGCAGACUGUAAAUCUGCUAGCAUCGCUUUCGGAGGUUCGAAUCCUUCCCUGCCCA